rnacentral:rRNA from 1 species
AUUAAGACUCUCGGCAACGGAUAUCUCGGCUCUUACAUCGAUGAAGAACGUAGCGAAAUGCGAUACUUGGUGUGAAUUGCAGAAUCCCGUGAACCAUCGAGUCUUUGAACGCAAGUUGCGCCCGAGGCCCUCGGGUCGAGGGCACGCCUGCCUGGGCGUCACGCCUCGC